rnacentral:rRNA from 1 species
GAUGAACGCUGGCGGCGUGCCUAAUACAUGCAAGUCGAGCGAACAGACGAGGAGCUUGCUCCUCUGACGUUAGCGGCGGACGGGUGAGUAACACGUGGAUAACCUACCUAUAAGACUGGGAUAACUUCGGGAAACCGGAGCUAAUACCGGAUAAUAUAUUGAACCGCAUUGUUCAAUAGUGAAAGACGGUUUUGCUGUCACUUAUAGAUGGAUCCGCGCCGCAUUAGCUAGUUGGUAAGGUAACGGCUUACCAAGGCAACGAUGCGUAGCCGACCUGAGAGGGUGAUCGGCCACACUGGAACUGAGACACGGUCCAGACUCCUACGGGAGGCAGCAGUAGGGAAUCUUCCGCAAUGGGCGAAAGCCUGACGGAGCAACGCCGCGUGAGUGAUGAAGGUCUUCGGAUCGUAAAACUCUGUUAUUAGGGAAGAACAAAUGUGUAAGUAACUAUGCACGUCUUGACGGUACCUAAUCAGAAAGCCACGGCUAACUACGU